rnacentral:rRNA from 1 species
UGCGUAGGUGGUUUUUAAGUCAGUGGUGAAAGCCUACAGCUCAACUGUAGAGGUGCCAUUGAAACUGAAAAACUUGAGUAUGGACGAGGUAGGCGGAAUUUGUGGUGUAGCGGUGAAAUGCAUAGAUACCACAAAGAACACCAAUAGCGAAGGCAGCUUACUGGACCAUAACUGACACUGAGGCACGAAAGCGUGGGUAGCGAACAGGAUUAGAUACCCUGGUAGUCC